rnacentral:rRNA from 1 species
CACCUUGACUAUGUGCACCUUUGUUGUUCCCUCGGCAGUUCGCUGCCGCCAGGGACCACGAAACCCCUUGCAUCAGCAUCAAACCUCUGAAAACAAAACCUAAUUAUUUACAACUUUCAACAAUGGAUCUCUUGGUUCUGGCAUCGAUGAAGAACGCAGCGAAAUGCGAUAAGUAGUGUGAAUUGCAGAAUUCAGUGAAUCAUCGAAUCUUUGAACGCACAUUGCGCCCCUUGGUAUUCCAUGGGGCAUGCCUGUUCGAGCGUCAUUUACACCCUCAAGCUCCGCUUGGUGUUGGGCGUCUGUCCGCGCAGUUUGCGUGGACUCGCCCCAAAGGUAUUGGCAGCGGUCUUGCCAGCUUCUCGCGCAGCACAUUGCGCUUCUGGAGGCUCCGGCGGAUCGGCGUCCAUCAAGUCCACACCCACAGUUUGACCU